rnacentral:misc_RNA from 1 species
AGCAGCCGCGGUAAUUCCAGCUCCAAUAGCGUAUAUUAAAGUUGUUGCAGUUAAAAAGCUCGUAGUUGAAUUUCGGGAUUGACGUGAUGGUCGUGCCUUACGGGGUAUGAACUGUUGCUGUUGAUUUCUCACCUUCUGGAGAAACUUGAUGUCCUUAAUUGGGUGUCUUGCGGAUCCAGGACCUUUACCUUGAAAAAAUUAGAGUGUUUAAAGCAGGCAUUUUGCUCGAAUACAUUAGCAUGGAAUAAUAGAAUAGGACGGCAUGGUUCUAUUUUGUUGGUUUCUAGGAUCACCGUAAUGAUUAAUAGGGAUAGUUGGGGGGCAUUAGUAUUCAAUUGUCAGAGGUGAAAUUCUUGGAUUUAUUGAAGACUAACUACUGCGAAAGCAUUUGCCAAGGAUGUUUUCAUUAAUCAAGAACGAAAGUUAGGGGGAUCAAGACGAUCAGAUACCGUCGUAGUCUUAACCAUAAACUAUGCCGACUAGGAAUCAGACGAUGUUAAUUUUUUAAUGACUCGUUUGG